UACGAAGGGGGCUAGCGUUGUUCGGAAUCACUGGGCGUAAAGGGCUCGUAGGCGGCCAACUAAGUCGGACGUGAAAUCCCUCAGCUUAACUGGGGAACUGCGUCCGAUACUGGAUGGCUUGGAUUUGGGAGAGGGAUGCGGAAUUCCAGGUGUAGCGGUGAAAUGCGUAGAUAUCUGGAGGAACACCGGUGGCGAAGGCGGCAUCCUGGACCAAUAUUGACGCUGAGGAGCGAAAGCCAGGGGAGCAAACGGG
rnacentral:rRNA from 1 species